rnacentral:rRNA from 1 species
GACGAACGCUGGCGGCGUGCUUAACACAUGCAAGUCGAACGAAGAGCGAUGGAAGCUUGCUUCUAUCAAUCUUAGUGGCGAACGGGUGAGUAACGCGUAAUCAACCUGCCCUUCAGAGGGGGACAACAGUUGGAAACGACUGCUAAUGCCGCAUACGAUCUGACCUCGGCAUCGAGGAUAGAUGAAAGGUGGCCUCUAUUUAUAAGCUAUCACUGAAGGAGGGGAUUGCGUCUGAUUAGCUAGUUGGAGGGGGAACGGCCCACCAAGGCGAUGAUCAGUAGCCGGUCUGAGAGGAUGAACGGCCACAUUGGGACUGAGACACGGCCCAGACUCCUACGGGAGGCAGCAGUGGGGAAUCUUCCGCAAUGGACGAAAGUCUGACGGAGCAACGCCGCGUGAGUGAUGACGGCCUUCGGGUUGUAAAGCUCUGUUAAUCGGGACGAAAGGCCUUCUUGCGAAUAGUUAGAAGGAUUGACGGUACCGGAAUAGAAAGCCACGGCUAACUACGUG